GGUUUACCUUACUCACAAUAACUACUUUCCUGUAACAUGGCUGGAAAGAAAGAAGGAAUCCUAUUGACAUUCCCAUUGGUGAAAGUCAGAACAUGAGGGUCUGGAUCCCAUCCAGUAACAGAACUAAAUCCAGUCCUGUGUCAGGAUGAUGUAACCACCAGGGGAUUGCAGAUGCCAAGCACAGGAUAUGUGUGGAGGUGUGGACAGCUGGGAUUGUCUGCUCAUCCACUGGCCUAACUGCCUGAGCCAGCACAAAGGAUGAGUUUUUCUUCUUUGCCAGGAGGGCAUAUCCAAAGCUCUCAUAAGGAGACUGAAACCAUGGGCUGGAUUUGCUAAGGGCUGUGAAACUUUUUCUGCCUUAUUGGGAGGAAAUAUGUACUGGGUUGCCAAGGUGGAAUUUUAUCAGCUUGCCUUCAAAGUCUACUGGAGACAGGAGAAAGCUGCCUUAGGACUUCAGCAUCCCAGGAACUAGAAAAAAAUGGUUUUGAAGGACCUCAGCAUGAUUCCAUCCUAAUUCGGAAUACUGCACAAUGCUGAAGAAAUGAGGAAAGUGGGCUGAUGAGGACGAGGUGAACUCUGAGAAGAAUUGAUUCCAUCCUUGCUCUGCUACAGAACCUCAUCAUCUUAAUAUUGCAGAAGUUCAUCUGCGUCCUGCAGUGCUGGUGCUAAGAAAUGAGGAGCAAUUCCCUCAAUAAGAUCCAGGGUGCUCUCCCACAGAAGACAGUGACAUGACAGGAAUGGUGACACAAGGCUCUUACUGUUACAUUCAAUAAUUGAUUCUCCUGGAUGGAUUGUGACUCCCUAAAGGUUGCAAAGAGAGAUCCUUAGUGGACACCAGCGUCUAAGUCAGCAGCAAAAGGAAAAGCAGGAGCCCAGGACACUGGGGGUGGACCCCAGCAGCACAAAGUGAGGCAUUAAACUGCUAAAAAGUUCCCUGAUGAAAUGCUGGGGUCUUUUCUCAGUUGUUGACAAAAAUUCUCCUUAAGAAUCCAGUCAGUUUUUAAUCUCUUUUUUGUUUGGAUUGAUUUUCUCUGUAUUUUGCCAAAGCUGCCUAUGAAGUGGUAGUGGUUGAUUUUCACAAGGCAAGAGGGUUCAGCUCAUGUCAGCCAGGCCUCUGUGCUUGUUCAAAGGUUCUGCAAAUCUGCUGGGACUACAAAUUGGCCAGAAGAAAUUGAGGGAAGAGUCUGUCUUACAAUAUUCCUGUUCCUCUUCUAUUCCAACAGAAACUUUGACAAUUCUUUAACAUUUUCCUCAGUUUUUUUGUUUCUCUGAAACUAGGAGUCAGAAAUGAAGAAAAUAAACAGCACAACUAUGUGAUGAACAGGUAUCUUUUAGAUACACAAAAUGCAUACUUAUGUAUGUCUAGUGAGAAUAGGGUGGGACAGGUUCUUCUUGUUUAUCUGAAUAGUUUUACCUGUCUCAAUCCUGAAAACCUGUCAGUUUUCACAUAAAGAUAUAGGUAUAGACACGCUAUGUUCAAAGUAGAAUUCCUGAAUGUAAAGGUUGCUUACAAAAAAUUUGAAUAGAAAGAAGAUAAAUCAAGUGAUAAAAUACAGAGCUUUAGGUCAAUAAUUACUCAAUGUGGUGCAAGUUUUAAGUGAAAUUUCCAGCAUACAGCUGCUCCACGUGUAGCCACUUCUUCCUGCAAGAGGAAAGAAACACUCAGCCAGAGAGUGUAACAAUGAAUUACAUUCAACCUAGAAGUGCUUUAGCACGUCUUCAAGAGCUGCUGCCUGCUUCAGUGAUGGAUUAUAAGUUAGCAUGGAAUCCCACAGGCAUGAAGGUAUUUAUGUAGUGUUCUGAUUGCUUGGACACUCCCAACAAAUGUACAGAAAUCAGAGUAUCACUAUCUCCCACUUAAUUUUAUUUAUUUAUAUUUAGCGAGUGCUGGAAUAUUACAAAGCAGCAAGCACAGCUGCAGCUGGAAUAUACUUUCCAAAGCAUAUUUACAGUAGCUCUCACUCACACUGGGUAAUGGUGUAUUACUCCAUAAGUAGUUCCAUUGAUUUCAAGAGAUCCAUUAGAGAGGUUCCAUUCCUUGUACAGCUGAGUGUAUCCCAAUUUGGUCCCAUGGUUGAAAUGCAGAAAGAGCUCCUUUACUGCUGUGUUCCUAAGUGCAUGACCAGUUUGAAAAAAGCCCUACACCAAGCUCUUCCUCCCCCAAAAGCUCAUGAUAGUGCAAAAUACUGAUGAGGCUGGAGGAAUAAGGUUUUGCUGUAUUUUAUUUCCGUGCAGAAGCACUGUUACAUGUUCUUCAGUUAUACAUAGAUGAAUGUUCAUUCCAUGUGCUGUUUUCAGCUGUGUACUUACACCAGCCCAGAAUCCCAAAGAGAAAAGUAAAAGCUGAGAUUCGCAUCAGUAGCAGAGAGCAUCAGGUGAUGUUGAUUUAAAGAAAACAUUAAUCAAUCCAGAUUUUCUUGGAACGGGGCCCAGGUUCACUCAACAGGUUGGUGAACCUUAGCAAAUGUUUCUGUGAAUCUGUUCUGUGUUUUGACUUUGUAACGUGAUCUGAAAUCAUCUGAGUUUCAUGUGGUUUCGUUGUGCACGUUUGGAACGCUCGUGGGGCGAAUCCAGGGAAAGACAGAGAUGCUAAAUUUUGCAUGACGUGGUAAGGGAGCCCCCUCUGAGGUCUUUGAGAUUCCAGCCAGCAUUGGAAGUGACAGCCCAGAUAAGGCAGAAAGAUUUGAGUUAUCCUGCUACUUACCAAGAGGAGAAAAACAGCAUAAGAGCGUUGGUUAAUGGGCAUGCUUUGGAUUCACACUGGAUCCUGGAAGCAAAAUUGUCCCCUGUGGAUGUAGAGGUAUCAUGCUAAAUCCCCUCAGAUGGGUUUCUCAUCUCACCUUUCUGGAAUACCUGUGGUGUCACCUCUUUGUCCUGUAACAGCUUUAUGGUAAAGACUGAGUAGACCUUGGGCAUUCUGAAACCAGCGGUUUCUCUGUGCUUCGCAGUUGCUAAUUGCUUUCACCCCGCACGCGUGGCCCGAUGCACUCUCUGAGUUACUGAACCUGAGGACCUGCUACAGAUGGGAAAGCUGAGGUGCAGAGGGUUUAAGGGCUUCAUUCUUCUUUUGUGACCUACAGCCUCAACGAGAGUUUUUACAGAAAUGGAACACCACGGAACAGCAAAUUUGGGACCCCUGUCACUUGACAAAAGAAAUGUUUGGCUCAGAAUGUUAUUUUUCUUAAAUGUAUCUUUCAGCCACUGUCAUUAAAAUUGUUGAACAGCUUUAGGAACCUGUUUUGUCAACUACCUUGGGGACAAGUAUGAAAUACUGGGCUGUUAAACGUGCACCACAGAAAAUGAACUGUGCCGUGCACGAGCCACGGGAGGAGCACACCUCAGCUCCUCGUGGACCCUCCCCACUGCUGCAGCAGCUCUAAUUAGUUGGGAUUAGAUAUUCCCAACUCAGGGAGAUGCUCUCCAUAAAUAUUUGUUUGCACUUAAAAGCAGAUUUCUGCAAAGGUUCUGGUGCUGGCAGUUUCCCUGCAGGAGCAGUGGCAAAGCGGGGAUGCAAUGCCCAGAGGUGCACGAUGUGUGCAGCCCGUGUUGUGCACUGAGGACACUUAAUCAGCCAAGUUUUGGGUUAUUUCUUCAAGUAGGGCAUUGGUGGGGCUGAUUCUUACAUUUUUAGAUAUAUUUAGUAUGUAAAAAAAUGUGUACACCACUGUGCAUUAAACUGAACUGCACAAAUGAAUUUUGUGCCUGAGAGCAAGAAUAUUCAUUGUAUACAUUAAUGCUUCCUCAUUUCUAAUUAUUUAUUUCUAAAUAUGGGUGAAGCUGCCUGUCUCUGGAGGGGGGUAUUGCAAUUCUGUGAGGUUAUGUUUGGAUGGAUAAAAGUGUUUUACUCCCACAAUAUUCCUUUUUAAAUAAAUAUGUAGUGAUAAGCCAGUGACAUUGCUAAAAAAAGACACUGCUAGAAAUUAUGAUUAUCAUAACUGUAGUGGACUGGGGUAAUGGUGCUGAGUUAAAGUUCCUGUGGUAAAGUUUUUGCAAAUUCCAGGGACUUUCUGAGAGAGUAAGAGGGAAGUCAAAGAUGUUUGUGGGUUUUUUACUCCAUAAAACUCCCUCCAGAAACAAAACAGGUAAAAAUGAAAGGAACAAACUAUGCAGGAAAGGAACAAAAUAGGAAGGUAAGUAACUGAUUGGAAACCCCAGGAACAGAAUAGAAAGACAAGGAAGGCUGACAAAAUAUUUUAAUUAUUCUCCUUGAAUGAAAGAGUUAUGUGGGGGAAAAGAAUGCUCCUUUUAAUUUUAUGAAAUUGAAUUUUAUAAAUUCUCUCUGUUUAAUGCCACUGUCUACUCUUGCUUGUAAUUAACAGUAUUCAAUGGUAGCACUUAUUAACCUCAGUAACACUUUGUUUAAAACAAUAUUUUGCAAAAUUGCAGUCUGUUUUUCACUGCUGUGCAUUGCUGCAUGUCUGGGAGAGGUUCUACAGCCACCCAUAACCCACUUCAUCCUCAAAUCCAGGCAUACUUUACAUUCAGAGCUUUGAAAACCAGCUAAAUUUACACCCAGCUUGCUCUGGAAAUAAAUCUGCUCAUUUAGAUGAGGUCUCAUUUAAAAUGGCUUAGCCCAAUAAUUAAUCAUUUCAUUCUCUUUAUAUAUUUGUGGGUGUUUGAAAGAAGUUUGAUUAGUUACCAGUGAUUACACUUCCCAACACCCUGCAAAGGAAAUAAUAAAAUAAAACCCGUCAGGCUUUUGUAAGGAUUGCUGGGGCUGAAUUUGGGAUGAAUUUAAUAGUGACUUACUAACUGGCAAUUAUUUGUCUGCCUUUAACAGGAACUCCAUAAUGAAGGAGGUUAUCAUCCAGGAGUUAUACCCAGCUUGUUUUUAAAUCUGCAAAGGGAAGAUAGUGUGAACAAAGCAGUGAUGGCUCUCAGGUUCCUCCCCAGGCACCAGGAGAGCAGUGGGGAUGUUUUGGAUCACCUGAGCACAGGUGGUCCAAAAUUGAUCAUUAUAUAUUAUGGAAGAAUCUGGAGAUGGAGCAUGCUGGAAGAUGUUUUCUGCAUCACACAGAGUUAAAAGCCUAAUUAGACAGCUAAAGUAGCCUCCAAAUAUGCAGACGCUCUUUUGCACUCCAAAAUAGUUGCAUCAGCUAUCAAUCAAGUGGAUAAAUGAUGCAGACAGGCAACUGAGGGUUUUCAUUUAUACUGGAGCGCUCUUCAACUCAUGUCUGUCACUGAGGGCUACAUGUGGUUGCUAAGCCUCCCCUAUCACAUGGAAGGGUGGAGACAAGGCAGCAGUUUUCUCUGGAAAAGAGACAGAUGAUCAUGCCAAGUUGUGGAGAAGUACUGGCAAUGGUUUUCUUGGGAAGAGAUUGAGACACUCUUUUGACAGGAGCCAACACCCAUUUUGAGAUGGAAAAUGUUCAUCCCACCAUCUAACUCUGCAGCAUCUUCUCCAGCAGGAGCUUCUCUGGGAAAACACGCACUGCUGUGUGAUGCUGGAGAUCCUGUGGCUUGCUCUGUCACCAGAACCGACCCUGCCUGUGCUCAUGCUCUCUUUUUAUUGCAUUUUUGCCUGCACAAAAUGCUGUGAACAGCCAACUGGCCACAGUUAAACAUGAGAAUGGGACUGAAGCAUGUUUCCCCUGCCUGCUGCCUUUGUUUCCAGAGACUUUGUGGUGGUAUCUUGUCUUGUUUGUCUCUGCAUCAGUCUGGUCAUCAUCUAUUGUCUGUCAGUUUGGGGCUCAGUGUCCCGUGCUCAGGCAGCAGGAGUCUAACAGGGCUCACCUCUCCCCAGGCUGCUGUGGCAGGGUUCACAGGGAGCCUGCUGUCAGUAUGUGCACUGCUGGUUUGGGCAAAAUGAGCUCUGCAUUCACAAAUAAUACAACUUUGGCUAAAUUCAAGCCCAAAGGAAUCACUACCUUGUGCUUUUCCCUCACGUGUGUGUUUUUAGACUAGCUACAGUUUGGAUACUAGCUGGCAUAAAUCCCAUUUUUUUGAUGGUUUGGGUUUUGGUGCCUGGGACAGGGUUGUGUAAAUCUGUUCAUUCAGUUAAACCAGAGUAACAGCUGAAUUCAGACAGGUCUGCUACAGAGACCUGCAACACAUACCCAAGGUAAAGCAAUUCCCACAUCUCACUGACAGAUACAAACAAAUAGUCAGUUUUAAAGCUUUUGUACAGAAGACACUAUAGCCAUUUAAAAUACAUUUUAAGAGUGCAAAAGGGUGAGUGGGUAUUUCCAAAUGCACAGCACAAAACAAGAGCUUACAGAUUGCCAGAAAACGGUGGAAAUCGAGGAGAUAGCAGUAUCUCCUAUUUGGAUAACCACGCAGAAAACAAGUGCUGUGAGCUUUGGGCCUGUGGAGCACAGGGAUGGGAUCAGCAGGCAGAGGUAAGGGAAGGGCACUUGGUGGGCUUUAUUGUGUUCCAAGACUGCAUCCUAUUUCCUACACUAAAGGAACACAUCGUGUUGGGUUUUCUCCAACAAGCAGGAUAUUGUUUAAGUCCUUUUUCAACAAAGUAUUAUCAAGUUUAUUUGGGGUUUUUUGUUUUGCUUUUAAUUGGGAGCAGCAGCAAAGUUCAGAGUACCAUAGGCAGAUGUUACAGGGACACGAAAGUACAAGAUAAGGUGCUUCCUACCACAGGAAGGCUAUUUUAAUAGUUGGUUUUUAAGCUGAUAUUUACAAAGGAAGGAAAGUCAAAGGCAACAAUAAUUAAUGUCAUCAUUAUGGUGCUGAUUUGCAGAGAAACAUAGUGGGAUUAGGAACUCAGUCAUUUCAGAUUUUAGAAGACUUCAACACCAGAUCAGGGAGCAACUGAAACACAAUCAGCAUCAAAAUCUAGGUGUUGCUCUCUAAAUUUUAUGUAAGGAACCUAUAUUUAUAUAAGUGUAUCGAUUGCAGAUGGAAAAGAGUGUUAACAAAAGGGAAGGUAAAGUUACAGGUCUCACCAUCUUCCCUCAUUAAUGGUUCUCAGCAAAACCUGCUGAGCUUUGUGACUUUUUAUUUAUCAUUAAAACACAAUUUUUGUUAUUUGCUGAAUGGUUAAAAUUUAUUUUCCUGGUAAUUUGGGGAGGUAGCUGUUUAUCAUAUGGAAUGAUAAACAAAAGCUGCAAAAAUCUUUUCAAAUGGGUUAGUUUGCAGCCCUAUAGAGCAGAGCUUCAUGAGUUUUUUUGCAUCGUCAGGAAAAUCUAAACUAAUUUAAUUCAUGGUAGGGAGCAUAUGUUAAUGACUUCUCUGGGUGGAGGAAGGUAGUGCACACCUCCCUUCUAACUCAGUGGUCCUGAUCUACAAGCAGGCCAAUAGAUCAAAACCACACGCUAUCUCAUGGUAAGAAUUGAAUUCAUGUUCUCCUUAGAUGCUUUUAUGCAUCACAAAAACCAUUGGUGUGUUUGCUACCGCUUCAAGCUGUCCAAAGGUUGAAUUAGGUUCAGGUGGGAUGGAUCCCUGAGCAGCCUGGGCUGGUGGGUGGCACCUCUGCCCCUGGAUGAUCUCCCCUCCACCCCAAACCAUUCUGUGAUUCUGUGAUCUCCCUGCCCAGCAGAACCAGGUGCUGCUGGCCAGCGGGAGAGGAAGGGAGGGAGCUCUGCUGUGAGCUGAUACAGCAUUUCUGCUUUGCCAGCUUCCUCCCUUGCAGGCUUGUUCUGACUUAACAACUCUGUUGAAAAACUGUAUAAAGGAACCAAAAGAAAAGGUAUUUCAAGGAAUGAAAUUAAGAAUUGUAAGGAUCUUUGAAUAACUAGUGUUUUCAAACUGGGUUAAAGCAGACUUAGAGUAAUCUGACAUGAUGUAAUCCUAGUGAAGUUGCAGGAAAGCAGAAAUUAAGUAUUUAUUUGGUAUUACAGUGUCUAGUAUAAGAUAUUGUUAAGUACUGUCAGUAACUCAUUAUAUAUUUAUUUUAAAAAAUAAGAACUUAAAAGAAAAAAAGAAAUUUGAGAUUAGAAUGUGGUUGCUGUACAUGCAUUAUACAUGCUUCUCCUUCUGUUCCACUAAUGGAUCCUGACUGCCAGAACAGCGAAACGAACCAUUGAAAUUAGCGGAACUAAGACCCAGAUCUAUUAGAAAUUUUCAUUUGCCUCCAGUGUAGAAUUUCAGACAGAUCCCUGAUUUCUGCAAAGCAUUUCCAAAGUAUCACAGCUAUGCUGAAAAAUGAGUUUUCUGUCAAGGGGAACAAACGUGGUGGUAGAAGCCAUUGAAACUUCUGCUUCCUAAUGGCCACACUGAAAAGACAUGAAAAGAAUGAAGCAUCUCUAGUGGCACAUCAUUAAUGCUGGUGGCAAGCUGAGGAACUGCUGGGGAAAGAAACAGCAGCAGCAGAAAGAGCAUGAGAUGAAUGAAGUUGGAGUCAUCAGCAUGGAAGUGCCACGUUAAUUAUACCGUGUUCUGAAAAGAACUAAAGGCAGAAACAAAGCUGAAACCAAGAGGCACAAGCCACCCAUGUAGGCUUCACUACCUGAUCUUACCAGGGUUUUAUUAGAAGUCACUGCUGGAAAAUAGAGCUUCUAACCUCUCAGUCCUGGUGUUCUCCCACUGCUGGAAGAGUGGCUAAUCCCAAAAUUUUCACGUUCUGAGCAAAAAUCAGAGGUAAAAUUCUGUUACAGUUGGAAAUGUAGUUAUUAGUUAUCAAACAAAUAAAAUAUGGAAUGGAACUUACGGGCCACAGUAGUUACCCUUGGAAGGGGAAAAAUUCUAGUGAAAAUCAUGUUAAAAUAUACUGCAGAAGUGUCAAAAAUCUGGUCUUCAGUACAAAAUACUCUUCUGAAACCCUCCAGCAUAAAGUUAUGCUUCCUUACUAAUGCUGCCCAAGCAUGCUCUGCUUUUGCCAAAAUAAUGGAACUCUGAACCUUUACUGGGACUUUCCAUAUGACUGUGGCUUUAAGUUAUAUCCUUCAAUUUUUUACUUUUUCUGUGUUUUGGUAAUGGGAAUGUUUAGUGCCUGGAAAAUCUGAGACAUUGAAAGAACCUAAAAAAAAUGUAUAUGCAGGAGAGGCUUUGGGUUUCUUCUGAAUCCUGGUCAGGCUCUGGAAAACAGAACCAAACCUCAGAACCAAAAAUUCCUUCAUGAGUUUUCAACAUUUCUGCUAGUGCUGAGUUCCAGGGUCUGGCUUACAUUGGGAAACCUUGACUCCUGGCUCCAAAGGGUUCAAUUAGUCAAAAUGGUUGGCAGAUGGAAAAAAUAAUUAAGUUCCAUCCAGUGUUUUGUACAAUAAAAAUAGACUCAAGACACAAUGGCCUUACCUUGAACUUUGCAGGCCAGCGUCACAUAAAGAUAAAGAGGGAGUCAGCUUGUAGGAGCUGGAUUAUCUACCAGCACAUGAAAAGUGUGAAGCUGGGCUGCAAGGACCAGAGGUAUCAGAAUGUGCAGGCUGAGCACGUGAUUAUUACCUUAAUGACUGUUUUUUAGCCCAGAUUGAAGAUGAAAAUUCUGGCAAUGAGAAAUAACUUGACAUGGAUAUUAUGAGAUUAUCAAAACCUCAUGAUAGCAGUAAUAACAAUAAUCAUCUCUUAUUUGAAGAGCUGCUGAAAUGCAUGGAAAUUUUAAAAUAUUAUUCUUAGAAAUCUUUCUCCUAAAUGCUUUGUCUUUCCUGAAAAUGACAGAAAAGUAGAUAGGUAACGCUUUUCUCAAAUAAAUUUUCUUUUGCUCAAAUACAGCCUUAGAUGCCCAACUUCAAGAACUUGAGUACUUGAAUGUACAAUUAUGGACAAGAAACAUAACCUGUGCUAUAACUUGACAUCAAAACUAUUUUUACUUCAACUGUCCUGUAAGCUGUGUAGGCCAAAGAAUUAGAUCUCACAUUAUGCACCAAAUCAUUCUGAAUAAUGAAUAUAUUCACAAAAAACAUAUAGGCAUAUAGGGUAGAUUUGCAAAUUGGGAAGUGUGACUUACUACACAAAUUAUUUAUUAUAAAAUAGGCUGUAGUGAAAUUUUUAUGGACAAAGCAAUGUUUUGGAUAAUAAAUUACAUAUUACAGACAAUAAAAAGUGGACAGAUUCCCCACCACUGUCAACCUGGCAGUAGAGGGCACGUGGGCUCUGGAGAUUUAUCUCUAAGUAUAGAAUGAAAUCUCCAGAUAACUAGGGCAGAACAGAGUUCUAGGUUGUAAUAUUAAUAAAGUUUUCCAGAAAGUGUAAGAGUUCCACAUAUCUGCACUUUCACAUCUACGUUUUUACAUCUGCUCUUGGCUGUCACUCAGGGCUGGAUGCAACUGGGUGCUCAACAUCUAAAAGGGAUGGUGAAAUAAAUUACACAGAUCUCUGUGCAAGUCUGAUCAAGCUCUGAAAGGUGAGGUAAGUCUGCUUCCUAUUGCUCACCUCCUUCCUUUUCUUCCCUAAAAUUCUACCAGGGACGAUAUCCAUCUCUUUCCCUCUCCCGCAUCCCUGCUCCCAGGCCGCCCUGCCCCACUGGGGCUGCACCCACCAUUGCCACCCCAUGCUUUUCCACAGCAGUAGGGUUUUGUUCCAUGUGUGAGCAGUGCUGGGGAUCCAGGGUGAGGACAGGAGUACACAGGGAGGCUCCUGAUGGGAUAUCAUGGAGUGUUUUGGCAGCACUGGUGUGGUUGAAUUAUACGACUGGUGCCGCACUGCCAGCACUUUAAAGAAGUGAUGUCUGUGUGUUUGUGAUUGCUCUGAUGGUCUGGGCUCCUCUGAGGGUGCAGAUGGCCCCUACCCUUAUCUUCAUGGAGUGUCUCAUGUUUAUUUGUGGUGGUAGUCCAGAAAAACCACUGAAUCUAUCCCAAAUCAUAUGGUGUUUAGAGGGAUAAAGAUGUUCAGCUGAGCCUGGGAAUCAUUAGGUGGCUGCCUUGAAGCCAAGCUGUUUGGAUGGGGCUCAGUUUCACAGCUGGCAGAAGAAGGAGAAUCUUUUUCUCCUCCAGUUGCUGAGACUGUCAGCAGCAAACUUGCAGAGCCACCUCCCCGUUCUUGGGGAUUCAUGGGAUGGUGGAGUGGUGGAUGUCCUGUUUGGUGAACUCUAAAGCCAUUUUGUUGGGGCAUGUGUGUGAGGGGGUACCUUUAAAUCUGGAGCCCAUUCUUUAUUGUUUUGUGGCUGGGGUCCAAGUAUUGGAUCUGUCUAACAGUCUCCUUGGGAUAACAGUGAGGAUCUUGAUAUUUAAAGUAGGAUGUGGCAAAGGUGAAGGGUCUCAAGAGGCAGAAUUUUUCCUUUGAGUCGUAAUAGUAGUUCACACCACCUGAACCUCCAAGUGAGCAUUCAAAGCCCUGAUUUCUCUUAUGUCUCAAGGGCCAAGCUUCCUGGGUUCAGCCUGUCCCAAAGCACAUGCUUCUGACUUGACACAGCUCUCCUUAGAGGCCAGGAAAAAUCAAUGUAUACUGUUGUGUUAAACCCAGUGAGGAUUAACAGAAGGGAUGUGCUAAUGAAUUCCACGUGAAUAUGCUGCAGCAGACCAGUCCACAAAGCACAGAAAUAAUUUGGUAGAAAACCUGCCUGAUUUCUAUUCCAGCUUGGACUGAUGGCUGAGCCUUUUCCUACCUGGAACCAGGGCUAUUUCCUGGGAUGCCACUGGCAUCACUGGGGUGGUGUGAGGUGUGGUACCCUGCCCAGCGUGGGCAGAGCUGCUGCUGCACAGAUCAGAGCAGGCAGCACAUCUUGAUGUCUGCUGCGACUCAUAAGGUGAAGGCUUUGAUGUAGGUCCAGGACCUGGCCCUGUGAUGCAAGAUGCACUGCAAAACCUGCUUUUCAGGGAGCACAUCCGUAGUCAUGGGAUCUUCAGAAACAAAAUCUUGUCCAUCAGGAAGCCUGUAACAGUGAUCAAUCCUCAGGACUCCCUGAAGAAGAGUUCCUUGUCCUAGAUUUGACAUUAGUAUCCUCCAGCUCUGGGGAAGCCCAGGCCUGUCUCAUGCUGUUACAUGAAUUACCAAAGCAAUGGCUUUAGGUUUUGCCUCCAAGUCAAAAGCACUUCAGUUCCAGCAUCAGUGCUCCCAUUGAAAAUGCUGAAAUACCUAUUUGUGUGAUGUUCUGUAAUUGAGUUUAGUUGUAUUACCUCAGAAAUACACUGCACUGAAAUCCUCUAAGUUUUCACUAGCAGAGCAGCUAUGCCAGCUGGCUAAGAGACUGGUGUGAUAAUUUUUCUACUUUUUCACCCACUUCCCUGAGCCUUCUUCACUUUUACUUCUUUUCACUAGCCUGGCUCUAGCUCUUCUCCUUGGCAGUGCUCCUGUGCCCACGUGCCUGCGCGCACACACACAGGCUCGGGCAGGUAUUCGUAACCUGACUUCACACUUCAUCCCUCUCCCUUGUUAAUUGUAAGAAAAAAGGGAAGGAAGAAUGAAAACAAAAGUGCUACACAGAGAAAUGAGGCAAAAAUAGAAAUCCAAGGGUAUGGUGGUUGCAAGGGAUGCCCAGAAAUUUCCUUCUGGAGUCUCUUUUAAUCAUCUCUUGUACUUUGCUUCACUGCUCUUCUUUCAGCUGCUCAGGCCAGGUUUCUUGGUAGCCUUUUAUUGCCAAGUGCUAUUAUAACCAAACUGCUCUGAUCUUUAGCCAAAUCUUAGGAUAGAAGUGGGUGUGCUGAAGCAUUGGUGAGCCAGUGAGGGAACUCUUUACCAGGGCUGGAAUGGCAAACAUGACUGUACAGAUGAGAGCUGUGCGAGCAGGACUGCAGUGCUGCCAUGGGGUCUGGUUUCAGCUGCUGCAUGCAGGGAAGAGCAGCCCUGGAUGUCCAGGAUAUACAACCCUUUGAGCUACAACCACACAGAUUGUAGCACACAGCACAGAUAACAAGAACCAUUUUAGGCUGCUGGGUACCUGAGACAACAUCUGGGUUUUGCUGACGUGUCCCCAGGCUGUGCUGACAAAGUGCAGAUUCCCAGCAGGAAUAACUGAGGCUGCACUGAAUCUUGUGCCCAGGCCAUCCUGGAGAGGAACCACCAAGGAGGCAGAAGGGUUCCCAUUGGGUUGUCAAGGCUGCAUCUCCCCUCCUCAUGGCUCAGUGUGGGCUCCACAGCUCUGCCUGGCUGGCUCUGGGCAAGGACCAAAGUGUGGCUGGAGCAUGAGGAGAGGCAGAGCUGGGAACACAGAGCCUUUACAUGUUCAUCCUCUGAAGGGCUGAAACACCAUUUAAACACACUAAUUUCUCUUAAAGACCUUGAUCCAUAUUAAUUAUUAAAAAGAAUGUCUGAGUGAAAGACCAAAAAACCUCCAAAAUUCUAUGCACAAAUGCACUGAGCUUGCAGGUUCCCAGAGCUUACACCGACUUUGUGCCAUACAUCUGCAAUAAAAGAUUCUCUAUUUGCUUAGCAGAUGUGCUGAAGUCAUGUAGAGUUCAAAUUUACCAUACCCAUCAAGAUGCAAAUCCCAAAUUUCGUUUAGCAUUGUCCCGUUGGUAAGGAUGUUAUGCGCAGGUCAGGAUUCUAUCUCCCCCCAAGCCCUUUAAAUGUGUUUAUUCAUUCUGUUUAUUUUCAUUUCCCAGUUUCCACAUGUUGCUCAGUCAGAUUUUCUGUUAGCAAGACUGAGAGACGAAUAACAUAUGUUACCCCACAACUGACCUUGAAGGGGAACUGAAGAAACCAUCUUCCCUAGGGCUGAGAUGUAAUUCAGCCACGAGCCUGCUCCGUAGAGGUCCUUUUCUGGAAAGACACUGCCAACUGCGUCGUAAGCCCUGGAAACGUUCCUGCCUGCAUCAACAGCAGAGCAUGAAGCUCUUGAUUCAUGGCCAGUCACAGCCCUGUCUGAGAGGGUUGGCCUGACUCUUCCAUGGUGUUUUCCACCUCCUCGCACAUUCUGUUCAGGAAGAAGUCACAGGAGGGCUGCUCAACUGCCCUGUCCUUGGCUGGCUGAGCUGGGCACAAACAGGAGCUCACCCAUGACUGUUGCUCUCCAGCAGUGCUCAGCAGCUCCUGGGAGAUGUGGAACUCUCCGUGGCCACAGAUGAUGCCAAGGGUUUAGGAUCUUCCCCUUGCUCCUUUCUCCCUUCACUUCUUCUCCAAGGAGCUGCAUUUCAGUUUAGUGCCACGUUUGGAAAUAUAUUUUCAGAUGGAGAACACUUGAUGGACAGAUGCUGGCCACUCCCUGGCAGGGACACCCAGAGCUUCUCCUCCAAGGAACUGAGCAGAGUUCAAGACUUUCAAGACCUUUCAAGACACCAAGAUGGGGAUGGGGACUGUCCUGUUUAAUAAUCACAGCCCAGUGGUCAGAGCCCUUCCUUGCAGAGCUGUUUUUAACUAACUGCCUUCAGCUUGGGUUAUUUCCACUUCUCAUCCAUCACUGUCCUGUGAAACUUUUGAUCCUGAUCAGUUGUGGAUGCCCCAUCCCUGGAAGUGUUUAAAGCCAGACUGGAUGGGGCCCUGAGCAGGAGGCAGCAGGAGGUGUCCCUGCCAUGGCAGGAGGUGGAACUGGAUGAGCAUUAAGGCCCCUUCCAACCAAAACCAUUCUCUGGUUCUAUCUAUUUGGGAUUUUGGCUUUGCAAGGGAUCGAGGCUCCCACCCAGCUUCAAACUCAGACCUCUUCAUGCCCCAGAGAGGCCACAAGCCUGAGCAGAGCUGGGGACACGCCAGGCAGGGAACGUGGAGCUGCACAACCCCAUGUCCUGUUCCGAGCACCUGCAGUUAGAGAGGGGUUUUAACCAGUCCAGUGUCAGCCAGACAGUGCUUCCCCAUUGUGGGAACCCCCAUUCCCUGCCUGUGCCCACUGAGGGGCUCACCUGUGGCUGUGGUGAAGGGGUUAAAGCAGGCUGGGCCAGGCUCCAGCUGUGUGUGGGGACUGGGCUGGCCAGCUGUGAGUUCAGCUAUCCCCCAGUCAGCUAGAAAAGGGCUGUGUCUCCUGCACUGUGAUUAGAAUGGGGGGAGGUAGGUUUUUGUCGUAGGGAAGGAGGUGGAAAAAAACUGUGCUUGACUGAUUCCUUGCUGAGCAGUGUCUGGGGAGGGUCUGGGCUGUGCAAAGCUGUCCUGAGAGGUGCUCUCUUGGCAGAGGGGUUAAGAUAAGCCUGACCCGCUGACUUCUUCACUUAACAUCCAGGCUGGGGAGAUGCUUGUUUAGCCCAAAAUCUUGGGUAAGGCAGUCAGCUGGAGUUCAAGAUCCAGGGACUUAAUGUCCCAUGACUGAGUGUAGCUUGUUUGACCUGUAGUGCAGAUCUUGAGAGGAGAGAGCAGGAGUGUUUUUAUGGUAUGUGCUGAGCCUGCUCUCCCUGACUCAAAUACCUCCUGGAAAAUGAAUAAUUGAACAUACAUGUGACUAUGUAUAGACCCUUCUUCAAACAGAACCUGAAAUGGGGAAGAAUAUCUUCCAACUUCAUAGACUUUUUCUGCUGCUAACUGCACAGGACUGGCCAUAAAAUCCAUAGGGACAUGGCUGUACAGCAGGGAGCAGGCUUUUCAGCCCACACUUUUCAGUCUGAGAAGUGGCCUUCAACUCUGAAUUCUUUAAGCUAAGCAGUGUGGUGAAUUCCUGCCUUCAAACUGAGCUGGGGUAGAAGGAGAAAACAAAUUAAUUCAGAUUAGAUUUUUCGAAAAUAUUAUUUGCCAAGCCACAAUGCUCCCUGCUAAAAUCAAGUGAUGUUACUAUUGGCACAGUGGGUUUAAACUCACUACUGGGUUUUGCAUGUUUUAGUGAAGGAUGAAACUGAUUGAAUGAGAUUGUCUAUUAGUUGCAGUAGAUCAGCAGUUUCUUCUUUGUAGUGAUGCAACUGAUUGUUUGCUGAAUAAUACAGUGAGAAUAGACUCAGCAUGCAAGCCUGUAAACUGUCUGAAGAAAAAGCAAUGUCCUUUUUUUCCCCCAAUUGCUUCCAAGCCAGUAGCUGCUUCUAAUAUUCCUGUAUCCAGUGCAAGCCCAGUGCUGUUCAAAACACACAUCUACUAUUUGUCAAGAGCUGUAAUUGUUAGGAGAAAAGGAUGUUGAGGAAAGCAGAGUGGAAACAGUAUAGGAGGGCUGGUUGUGGAACUCCUUGGGCUGAAUUUUGGGGCAGCUUGGUUCAAUUCCUGGCUCUGCUACAUCUUUGUCCUGUGACCUUAGAAAUGUCUCUCAGUCUGCUCAGUCUCAGCUCCACACAGGUGUAAAAAGAGGUAAAAAGAGGCAUCAUUUUAUGCAGUACAUACCAAAUGAAUGUCUACAUUAAGUAUUAAAUCCAUUCCUGUUUUAAGUGGUAAAGUGAGAACCAAUUCUGCAGACUUGUAUGAUGCCCAGGACACGGGGCCCUGAUUUCACAGUGCAGCAAUGGCAGUGCAAACCCCAGAAUAAUCCUGUCCUUCUAAUUCUUGACAAUGUUCAUUAUCUGCAGGCUGAGUUUCAGUAGAUGCCUUUUUUUAGCCUGUACAUUGGUGGGCGAGGGAAUGAAAGGGGAGGAUCUCCCACACCAAGCACUUUUUUUUCAGUGUAAAUACAUGUCACAUAACAUUACAGACAAAUAAAGGGUUCUUACCACUCAUAAGGUGCUAUGGUAAUCC